rnacentral:lncRNA from 1 species
GUGGCGCGCGGCAGCAGGGUUGGGCUCUCGCCGUGAGUCGACGAAGGGAGCGCGGGCGCGCGCCCGCGUCCGCGCACUGAGAGUCGCCUCGGCCGCUCGCUUUCUCGACUCCCGCCUCGCGCCUCGAUCCUGUUCCGCCUCCCUCGGCCCUCCUGCCCGCCCCCACUCGUCGGCCCUCAGCUCAGAGACCUAAUAGGAUGGGGUCUUAGAGAAACAUCUUUUGAGCCACAGACUUCUUUGUUACCAGAAGGAAAAUGAAAGAAGAAAUUUAAAUACCACUUGAAGAGAGAUUUCUUAGAAAUUACAUCAGAGGAGCAUGCUUGGUCUUCCCACCCUCAUUAGGCCUCAGUGACAGGUACUUGAACAACUGAGCCCCUAAUGUGCAUGCUCCCCCACCCCUGAAGCCAGUCUCUGCCCUCCUCUUCCCUCCUCUUGCCCCUGGAAGCUGAUCGCCACCAACUGGCCUCUGGGUGGAUUUGGCCAAUGGAAGCACCUGUAGAGGGAAGAGAGUGAGGUUAGGAUAUUUCUUCCUGCUGUCUCCGUGCUUCCCUGCAGAGAGUGUGAAGAAAUGACCCUGAAAAGCCUCUGGCAGAGGAUUCUUCUUUCAGGAUGGUGUCGCCUCCUCAGCAGCCCAUCCUCCUCCCCUGGACUCAAGCUCUCAUUCCAGUAACACUCCUUCCUCCUUCUCCAUCUUCAGGGGGAGGUUUGCCAGUCGGUGGGUUCUAAGCAUAUCUCGCUGAUUCCCCCCAACCCUGCCGACACCUCUGUAGGUCGUCCCUUCAUUAAAAUCUCUCCAUUUGAACUAUCUGAGUUUAAUUCCAUUUCCUCCUGGUAUCUCAGUGAUACACGGUAUCAGUACAAAAAUCUCGCUUCACCUUCAGAACCAACAGAUUUGAGACAUUUUAUCCUCUGUGGAACCAUUAGUUAUUUUGUCAUUGGUUGUAUCAGAAAAAAAAAUCAGGAAUGCAAAUCCUUCUUUAUUACAGAUUCAGAUUUGCAUAUUACCAAUGUUAUAUAUUUUAAACAAAACUAUUCAUCAUAAGUUUUAAAAAUUAACUACUGGAGUAGUUAAUGAAUCUGAAUGUAAUUAUGUAGCUUUCAUAAUAUUAAAGUAAAAAUACUAAAAGAAGUAUUUCUUAAAGAAGCAAAUGCUCAAUCUCCAAGUAAAUUUUAUUCUAUGCUCUUCCGGUAUAAGAAUAUGUUAAUAUCUUGAAAAAUAUCAUAUUAUUUUGUGAACUCAUAAAGCUAUUUUGAGUUUUUGUAAAAUGAAAACCUUACCAAAAUGUAUUUUAUUGUUGGAAAGCUUGACCGUUACUGCUGUUUAAUUUUUUGAGCUUGUAAACUUUAUUUGUGCAUGUUUUCAACAAAGAAGGAUUUUAUUGUUAUUACAUAAAACAGGUGAUUUCUAGAUUUUAAAAUCACAAAUUGAAAGCAAGGCACAAUAAUAUAUAUUUCAAGAUAUAGGUACUUAGGAGGCAUCCUUUUAGUCAUCUGUUCAAUGUAGCCAUCUAUUUUACACCUACUGUCUACUAUUGUUUGAGGUCCUUGCCAAAGUAUUGCAGGCUAGUUAGGAAACAUAAAACAAUUAGAAAGUAAUCUAUGACAAGUAAGCUAUCUAUAAAUGGCAAUGAAGGGUAGAACAAAUUCAAUGAAAAUAUCUAUUUAAUCCUAGUGUUUACUGGUCUAGAAGAAUAGGCUGAGUAAAUUAGUAUUUCUCUGGCUGUUGUGGUAACACAUUGCAUGCUAUAACAGUUUUAAGUAAUUACAGGUGCAUUGAAAUUUAUCUAUGGCUUUGUCAUCAUAUUCUAAAAUGUCAUGAGUACUUUUUUCUGACCUCAAUUACUAUGAAAUUGGUUUCCAAUAUUUAAUUAACCAAGAAUAUCAAGUCUAUAGGGUAUUAUUAAGGUGAGACUUCUGUAGCCUUUUCAAUAAAGACCAGAAUUUUGGAGUGCCUUGAACCUUAAUCAUUGAUCUUUAAUUCUUAUUAAGUCAACUGCCCACCUUUUAAAGACUGAGGCCCAGGAAGAGUAAGUUUCUCUGAGACAAUGCAUACAGUACAGUGCUUCUUGGGUAUUGGCUCUAAGACCAGAUGCAAAGAAAGGCUAAAAUCCCAUUUCAUUGUUCAUUAGGUGAGAACCCUUUGUUAAGCUGUGUAACCUCUGUGCAUAGUUUCCUCAUCAGCAAAGUCAGAAAAAGUAUGUACCUGAAGGACUGAUUGUAAGGCUGGGAUGAGAGAAUCCAUGUGAUCAGCCCUCACCAACAGGUGCUGCCCAGUUCAUGAGUGCUGCUGCUGUCCUGCCCAAGUACCCAGCUUGCAGAGUGCCAGAGUUAGAGUCCCAGGGGUGUUCUCCACAGCUGCAUGCUUGAUCCAGGCCUAUCAGAUAUAUUCCAUUGAAAGUCCUCAUUCUCAAAUUUAAAACAAAGACUUUUUGUGUACCUCAAUAGCAAUGCACACACAGUUGGCUUCACAAACAUAUUGUACAUUUCUUUUUUUCAUAUUUAUUCAACAAAUGUAUAUUGACUACCCACCGUGUGACAGGUGUUAUUUGUUGACGGAACCAGGCAUCAUCAGCAAACAAAACUGACAAAGCUUCCUGCCCUCUGUGGAAGGCAUCUGAGGAAGAGACUGGAUUUUGUAGCAACAUGUUAUUCUCAUUAUAAACUUUAUCAUUGGAAUACUAAAGCCAAAUCAUCCCCCAUCUCCUUGAUCAGGAUACCCACUUAAUCUAGGCAGCUACACAAUUGUGAGAGCCUUUGUUUUUUUCUGCUGAAACAUCCUUAAAAAGAUACCUCACAACCCAAGAUUUGGCUUUUCUUAAAUACGAUUUUUAAUUUUUUUCAUUUCUAUCUAGAGAUUUAAUUGGAAAUGGAAAAUCAUCAAUUUUCCAAUUAAAUGUCUGUUCCAAUCAACAUUAUACCUUUUAGGUUGUCAUUGUCAUUUUUAAGUUUAAGCAACUUUAAGGAUUUUGAAUCUGGCUGCCUGUAAAUUAAAGGUGAAAGUAAUCAUUGUGUUGGAUUGGAACAUUUUGUCAAUUGAGAGUGGUUUCCUUGUUCUUAGUGUAUGAAAAGUUUAUUUUUCUAAUGUAGAUUAAUAAAGGAGAUAAAGAA